rnacentral:lncRNA from 1 species
AUUCAUUUAAAAUAGUUUUUGAUAUUCAAAAAAUACAAAAAUAUUUUUCCAACCUCUUUGAAUGAUUAUAGAUCUAUGAAAAAUAUUCUCAUCAAUUUAUUAAUUGAUUUGAGAUUUUAAUUCAAUUAGGUUAUUUUUAUGUAUUUUUAUUUGAUCAAAAAUAGUUUCUGACUUUUAAAAAUGCUGAAAUUUUUUGUCAAACUUUGUUUGACCUUGUUGAACUUAGGAUAAUUCACUUGGACUUUUCAAAGUUGAUUUGAAGUGAA